AUUAUUGUUUCCGGACUUUGAUACGAGAGAAAGUUUUAUAAUAUGAGACGACUAAUAUUAAACCAUAACUAACACUGUCAUUGAUUCACAAGCACGUUCUAACGCUGUGAUAAGAUUAUGAUUGGUCAAAAGAAUCGGUAAUUACUCAGCUCUGUUAGCUUAAAGAAUCUAUUUUUAAUCGAAGACUAAAGUUAAAGACUAAAUUUAAAGAAUUUAUUAUUAGUUGAUUUUUAUCCGCGUGGAACAUGUAAAGAUACAAUAAUGCAUGUAAUAUGUAAAAAUGUGUAUACAAAGUGUUCAAAGUACAACACUUAUUAUAAUAUUUUCAAUCAGGAAGCGAAAUCAAUGUCUACCUAGCUUUUUAAGCGCCUCAAAAAAAAAAAAAAAAAGAAAGAAGAAAAAGGAAUGAAUCUGUAUAGAAAUCCGAAGUGCGAUUGCGAGUUUGCAGUAAAAGUAAACUUGUGCUAUAGCAGAAGAUAAAUUAAUUGCGUAAUUGAUUACGAAAUUUGCGAAAUUUGCAACAUUUGCAUGUUUAUACACGAAAUUUCUAUGAUUAUACAUAAAAUUUGUAAAGCUAUCUGUUUACGGUGGAAGUUUUGCAAAUUUAUGACUAUUCGAAACUAACAUCCAGCUGUAUGAUAUUUCAUAUCGCACGAGGAAACAGGCAUUUGUACACUACUGUAUACUACUGUACGAAUGGCGUCGAGUUACGUCACGCACUAGCGUUAUGUCGGUAAUUAUCAUCACAAAUCACAAGUGAGCCGUGGCUGAGGAAAUAACUACGGAGUGAGAGAAAAUUGGCGGUAGACUUUCAGAACAGUGUCUUAGGUUCAAGGUUUCCCGAUGACUUCUAAGGCGAUAUUGUAUCGAAGUCUGUGAUCCAAAGAUGAAAAUUAUAAUUUUCGAAGAAGGCAUACAUUUUCUGGUAUAAUUGCACGUGUUUGCCGCUCUUUAAAAAAGAUGACUAGUUUAAGCAAAUUUCUGGUAUAAUCAGCGUUGUAAUUAUGUGCGCUUAUUAUGUAUCUGAAGUGAGUACCAUCUAAUUAUACAGUAAGUAAUUUUGGACUAAAGAUAAUAUUAAACGUACUAUGUAUCAAGUGUUCUAAGAAUAAUAUUAAGAUAUCUUAAAUUACAUCGAUUUAGAUGUAUGAAAUUCUAUUAUUAGAGAGGAAGUACAAUGAAAUAUUACUAUUUAGGUAACACCUGAAAUAUAGUGUAUAAAACAAUGUGACAUUGUUCUUAAAUAUAUAAAUAUCUGAGAUAUAUGCAAUAUUUUAAUAUAUCAGAGUAGGUAAAGUAAUUUACUGUACCAUCCGUACGUUUCAUUGUUUUCGAAUAUAAUACACGCUAUAAAUUAUUACAAUAACAGAAAAGUAUGAAUUUUAUAUUAGUUAAAAAUGCACAUUUAUAUUAUAUAUUAUAUAUUAUUGUAUGCUUAUUUUUAUACAUACUUACAUUGCAUAGCAUACAAAUAAAAUAUGUAUUACAUUUUCUCUCAAUCAGAAAUAGUUCACUCUUUUAUUUUAUAUCGCAAUAUUAACAAAAUCACUGAACUUUUCGAUUAAAGUUUGAUAAUCCUUUUAUAAGAGAACGAAGCUAACAUAUAUGACAGUGGCAAAGAAAUGAAUAAGUUAAGUGUAAUAUGUAUAAGUUAAGUAUAAGCAUGUUUAAUUAACAAAAUGUAAAAUAAUAACACUAAAAAUUGUCAUUGAUAAAUAAGUUUUUAUAGUAAAUCUAGAUAAAUCAUUUUGAUUUAACAAAAUGAUUUAACCGAUAAAUGGUAAUAAAGAUACCACUUGUAUCAACUGAUCGAUUACUUCGAUCUAUCGAUAAAGAAAAAGUACUGUUGACAAAACAGGAUAACAGAGAUGCAAUGCUUAUAAAUUAUAUUGUCAAAUAUAAAUUUAUAUCAAUAUAAUAAUUUAUAAAAUAUAUAUAAAUGUAGCUAGAGUAAUUACAAUCUUCUAUAAGCACUUUUCAGAACUUUUUACUUUCUAUAAUUUGUUUGAAUGUAUAAUUGGAAAAAGAGAAAAAAGCAUAGAAUCAAGAUACCACGAGUUUCAGGCCAAAUAUGCGUGGGUACAAUUUGCGAAGGUUACAAGAACAUUGCACUCGAAAGAACGGACGUUGUAAAGCACAGAAUGUAGUUAUUUUUGCAAAGGCUGUUGUGACUGGUUUCGAUCUUGUUAACCUUGGCUGAAAUCUUUUUAAAACACUUUUCCCAAACAAUCUGAAGAAUUGCAAAUAAUCACAAUUUCUUGUAUUUUUAGUUAGCACUCGUGCAUUUUUUCCUAUCAUUAAUUUUGAAACUCUGAAACGUAAUACGUAACGAAAAGUGCUAAAUGUUUGCACAUUACAAUUAAGAUGACACGAAUGUAUCGUGAUUAUUCUGCAAUGUUACAUAUCUCGUUUUUCUGAUUCAUAAAAUAAUAAAUAUUAAUCGGAGAUUUAACGAUGAAAAUAACAAAUCAGGCGAUUCUCUUUAACCUCAUAUGCUGUACAUGAGAUUUAUACCUCGUAUUUAUAGACGACAGAGAUUUCAUCGUAGUAAUCCGACAUUCGAUAUAUAAAAAACUUACCAUAAAUGUUGGUACAAUAAAUUAACAGAACGUUUUCUUAACAAAUUCUAAAUGACUCAGUUUUAUCGCACAGAAGAGUAGGAUAUUGAGAAUGUUUAAACAAUGUUCAUUACCAAAUGAAGUUGGAUUAAUGGUACA